rnacentral:rRNA from 1 species
UCACCGACUAGCAGAGCACUCAUACGGGAGGCAGCAGUGGGGAAUAUUGCACAAUGGGCGCAAGCCUGAUGCAGCCAUGCCGCGUGUAUGAAGAAGGCCUUCGGGUUGUAAAGUACUUUCAGCAGUGAGGAAGGUGGGUAUGUUAAUAGCAUAUUCAUUUGACGUUAGCUGCAGAAGAAGCACCGGCUAACUCCGUGCCAGCAGCCGCGGUAAUACGGAGGGUGCGAGCGUUAAUCGGAAUUACUGGGCGUAAAGCGCAUGCAGGUGGUUUGUUAAGUCAGAUGUAGAAAGCCCGGGGCUACAACCGUCGGAAUUGCUAUUUAGAAACUGGACAAACUAGAGUACUGUAGAGGGGGUAGAAUUUCAGGUGUAGCGGUGAAAUGCGUAGAGAUCUGAAGGAAUACCGGUGGCGAAGGCGGCCCCCUGGACAGAUACUGACACUCAGAUGCGAAAGCGUGGGGAGCAAACAGGAUUAGAUACCCUGGUAG